GGCCCGCCUCCCCCCACCCCUGGCCCUGCUCCACCUGCGUGCCCUGCCCCAUCCCAACGAUGCCCUCCUGAGCCAGCCCCCGGCCGCAGCUCAACGAGAGCCACAGGGCUCCCCGGAACCCCUCACCCGCCAGCCUCGACCUGGGUGCGGGCCUCCCAGGCCGCCGCCUCGGCCCCACUUCCUUCCACAGUGAGAACCUGCACUACCUUCUGUUCAUUUCCCUUAUCGUUUGCCUUGUUGCUGUGACCUCCCUAAGACACUGAAGAACACUUCUCGGGGAAGCAUCAUCACCGUUGAGAUGAAAAGGGGACAAAGAACACAAACAAGCAGACAAAAAACAAAACCACCCCAAGAAGCCACGUGAAGCCCUGAAAGCAAAGCGCAUCCUGCCGUGAGCCUCCCGGAGCGGAGGAGGCCGGAGCCCACCAAGCCCACCGGCGGGCCUCCCAGCCGCCCCUCGGCACCGACCCUCCAGGCCGGUCUCGCCGCCAGCGCCCCCCACGCCCCCUCUGCCACCCAGCCGGCCCCCCAGGCGAGCUGGUGCUAACUUGGGGCGCCGCUCGGUCACCCCCGCCAGACCCCAGAGCUGCCCGCGCGCGGGGCGACCCUUAGGGCAACACCCAGCGCGCUCGCCGGUCGGGUUUGCCUUCUAAAUGGUGCUCUCCUUGCCCGAGAGGUGUCCUCACCUGUUCCAGCUCGGCCGCACCUUUCGGGGCCGUCGGCCUCCAGCCGGUUGCUGAGCUGAGCAUGAGUGGGGUGCGCGAGCGGCCGAGCAGGUGUUUCUCCCCCGAGCACCGCGGACAGCGGGAGCUGGUCUGUUCGGAGAACUGGUUUACCCCCUUGCAGAUGAGGGGGAGUUUCUCCCUUUCCUGACUCUUUGAUUUGGAAGACCGCCCCCCCCCUCCACCCCCCUGCCCCCCACCCCACCUUUGGUCAGAAUCAGUCCUUUGGUGAAAGAAAGAACCGCAGGAGUUGAGUCUCGGUUUGGUCCUGCCGAGUCCUGGUUGUCCGGGCGUCCACGCUCACGGCUGUGCCCCUCGCCGCGGCCUGCUGGGGCCGGGGGUGGCCGUGGCCCCUCUCGUGGACCAGGACCCCACCCUGCACGCGCGGGUGAGCCGGGACCUGGCCUUGCCUUCUCGUCCUCGAGGCUUCAGAACGCACAUCGACACCUCAGGCGUGCGAGCCCCAACCUCAGGUGGGGUGCUGAGGUCCCCUCGCACAAGACUUGCACUUUUCCUCAGAACCAACGUGACGCAACUCCACGAGGGGCCGGAGGCCGCUCCCUUCCAGAAGCCCCGGCCUCCGUCCGGACGAGUCUUGCCUGACCUCUUCGGUGCUGACCUUCCCAAAGCGAUGCCUUACUGGUUUUGUACUAACCGUGUUCAUUUACGAGUGUUGUGCCUGCCUGGGGUCCAUGAUUUUUUUUUGUUUUGUUUUGUUUUGUCCUGUUUUGUUUUGUUUUCCAUAAAAAAAUUUUCAACCAUGGAUUUAGCCUGUGACCACGGGCCACAGCCUGAGCCUUCUGGUAAACCUACAGAGUGGUCCUUCUCAAUCUGUUUCCCAGCGAUGACCUUACACGCUCAUACUGUGAAUUUGGGAGGAGGUAAAAUAGACCUCUCCUUGGGGGCAGUUUUCCCAGUCACCUUGUGAGUAGACACCUGCCAAUAUCAUUUGAAACCCUUUUUUUGUUUUGUUUUGUUGUUUUUGUUUUUAGGACACCUUCUCUGUCUCCUCCCCUCUCCUAUCCUACAGACUUCCCUCCCACCAGGUCCAGGCUCAGAACCGAGACCUCUUGUCUCUGCUGCUGCCUGACUAGUGACCAGUUGAUUUGAAGUCGCGUAGCCCUCGUGUGAUUCACAACUCCGUGUCCUUCCUCAAGUUUCGGGAAGCAGGGUUGUCUGAUACGCACAUUUCUUCUUUCGGUCAUAUUUUACGUUAGUGUCGCUCACCUUUGACAAAGUGACUUUGUGCUCAUUUAGGGCUCUGUUCCGAAAUGCUUCCAUUUUGCCUUUUUCUACAGUUAGGCUACUUUCUGAAAAUAUAUGAAAUUCUAUGCAACACUUACGUUGAGUUACCAGUGGAAGCCAAAAGUCUUCUUCCCAAACUGCCAAGAAUUAUACAGGCCAUAAAUGAGAUGGGAAUAUCUUUUAAUUUAAGUUUGGGGGUGGGGUAGGGUUGGGACAAGGAACGAGACUUGCCUAGACCUUUGUUGUGUCUUGGGGACAUUUUUUAUUUUACUGUUGAUGCUUCAACUUCGGAAUUCCGUGUACUCAGAUCUGAUGGUGGUAAAUCUACUUCAAAAGGAAAAAAAAAAAACAAUCCAACUUUGUGGAUAUUAAAUGGAAGGUUUGCUGUUUUAAUCUAGUUGUUUCCAGUGGAGCAGUUUAUGAAAUAUGUCCUAUAAGAUGUACAUUUUUUCACUGUAACAUAGAAAUUGUAAAUAAUCGAUUAAAGUGCUGCAUUUUGAUGAAUUUUUUCUAGCCAUUUUUAAAGAGAAAACUAGGAAUUGAGUAUUUUGUGUACGGUAUGUUUCCUUCCUCCUUCCCUCCCGUCCUCCCUAUUUAAUUUUCAUUUGUCAUGAGGUUUUUGGAUCUGCCAUCGAUCUACUGGAGAUCAUGCCCCACGUCAUAGAGAAUAAAGCUGAUGAUUGUACCA
rnacentral:lncRNA from 12 species